UACGAAGGGGCGAGCGUUGUUCGGAUUACUGGGCGUAAAGAGCGCGCAGGCGGUCGUUCAAGUCGCGUGUGAAAGCCCCGGCUCAACUGGGAGGGUCACGCGAUACUGAUCGACUGGAAGGCAGGAGAGGGUGAGUGGAAUUCCCGGUGUAGUGGUGAAAUGCGUAGAUAUCGGGAGGAACACCAGUGGCGAAGGCGACUACCU
rnacentral:rRNA from 1 species